AGUGAACGCUGGCGGUAGGCCUAACACAUGCAAGUCGAACGGCAGCACAGUAAGAGCUUGCUCUUACGGGUGGCGAGUGGCGGACGGGUGAGGAAUACAUCGGAAUCUACUUUUUCGUGGGGGAUCACGUAGGGAAACUUACGCUAAUACCGCAUACGACCUACUGGUGAAAGCAGGGGAUCUUCGGACCUUGCGCGAUUGAAUGAGCCGAUGUCGGAUUAGCUAGUUGGCGGGGUAAAGGCCCACCAAGGCGACGAUCCGUAGCUGGUCUGAGAGGAUGAUCAGCCACACUGGAACUGAGACACGGUCCAGACUCCUACGGGAGGCAGCAGUGGGGAAUAUUGGACAAUGGGCGCAAGCCUGAUCCAGCCAUACCGCGUGGGUGAAGAAGGCCUUCGGGUUGUAAAGCCCUUUUGUUGGGAAAGAAAAGCAGCAGGUUAAUACCCCGCUGUUCUGACGGUACCCAAAGAAUAAGCACCGGCUAACUUCGUG
rnacentral:rRNA from 1 species